GAUGAACGCUGGCGGCGUGCCUAAUACAUGCAAGUCGAGCGAACGGACGAGAAGCUUGCUUCUCUGAUGUUAGCGGCGGACGGGUGAGUAACACGUGGAUAACCUACCUAUAAGACUGGGAUAACUUCGGGAAACCGGAGCUAAUACCGGAUAAUAUUUUGAACCGCAUGGUUCAAAAGUGAAAGACGGUCUUGCUGUCACUUAUAGAUGGAUCCGCGCUGCAUUAGCUAGUUGGUAAGGUAACGGCUUACCAAGGCAACGAUGCAUAGCCGACCUGAGAGGGUGAUCGGCCACCAUGGAAGUGCGACAAGGCCGAGAAGACUACGGGAGGCAGCAGUAGGGAAUCUUCCGCAAUGGGCGAAAGCCUGACGGAGCAACGCCGCGUGAGUGAUGAAGGUCUUCGGAUCGUAAAACUCUGUUAUUAGGGAAGAACAUAUGUGUAAGUAACUGUGCACAUCUUGACGGUACCUAAUCAGAAAGCCACGGCUAACUACGUG
rnacentral:rRNA from 1 species